rnacentral:rRNA from 1 species
AUUGAACGCUGGCGGCAGGCCUAACACAUGCAAGUCGAGCGAGCGGCGGACGGGUGAGUAAUGUCUGGGAAACCGCCUGAUGGAGGGGGAUAACUACUGGAAACGGUAGCCAAUACCGCAUACCAUCAGAUGUGCCCAGUUGGGAUUGGCUAGUAGGUGGGGUAACGGCUAACCUAGGCGACGAUCCCUCGCUGGUCUGAGAGGAUGACCAGCCACACUGGACCUGGGACACGGUCCGGACUCCUACGGGAGGCAGCAGUGGGAAUUAGUGCACAAGGGGCGCAAGCCUGAUGCAGCCAGGCCGCGUAGGUGAAGAAGGCCUUCGGGUUGUAAAGCACUUUCAGCGGGGAGGCGUUACCCGCAGAAGAAGCACCGGCUAACUCCGUGCCAGCAGCCGCGGUAAUAC